GUCCCCGUAGAGCAGCGGUAGCUCGCAACCCUUCCAAGGUUGAGAAUGCCACCCGCUCCGACACUCUCCCCCCAGCCUUCGGGGUGCGGGGGACUCCGUCAGGAGCACACAAGCGAGGCGCAGGUUCGACUCCUGCUGGGGACU
rnacentral:tRNA from 1 species